UAGGGAAUAUUGGACAAUGGGCGAAAGCCUGAUCCAGCAAUGCCGCGUGAGUGAUGAAGGCCUUAGGGUUGUAAAGCUCUUUUACCCGAGAUGAUAAUGACAGUAUCGGGAGAAUAAGCCCCGGCUAACUCCGUGCCAGCAGCCGCGGUAAUACGGAGGGGGCUAGCGUUGUUCGGAAUUACUGGGCGUAAAGCGCACGUAGGCGGUUAUUCAAGUCAGAGGUGAAAGCCCAGUGCUCAACACUGGAACUGCCUUUGAAACUAGAUAGCUUGAAUCCAGGAGAGGUGAGUGGAAUUCCGAGUGUAGAGGUGAAAUUCGUAGAUAUUCGGAAGAACACCAGUGGCGAAGGCGGCUCACUGGACUGGUAUUGACGCUGAGGUGCGAAAGCGUGGGGAGCAAACAGG
rnacentral:rRNA from 1 species